rnacentral:rRNA from 1 species
AGUCGAGCGGAUGAGGGAGCUUGCUCCUGGAUUCAGCGGCGGACGGGUGAGUAAUGCCUAGGAAUCUGCCUGGUAGUGGGGGAUAACGUUCCGAAAGGAACGCUAAUACCGCGUACGUCCUACGGGAGAAAGCAGGGGACCUUCGGGCCUUGCGCUAUCAGAUGAGCCUAGGUCGGAUUAGCUAGUUGGUGAGGUAAUGGCUCACCAAGGCGACGAUCCGUAACUGGUCUGAGAGGAUGAUCAGUCACACUGGAACUGAGACACGGUCCAGACUCCUACGGGAGGCAGCAGUGGGGAAUAUUGGACAAUGGGCGAAAGCCUGAUCCAGCCAUGCCGCGUGUGUGAAGAAGGUCUUCGGAUUGUAAAGCACUUUAAGUUGGGAGGAAGGGCUGUAGGCUAAUAUCCUGCGGUUUUGACGUUACCAACAGAAUAAGCACCGGCUAACUUCGUGCCAGCAGCCGCGGUAAUACGAAGGGUGCAAGCGUUAAUCGGAAUUACUGGGCGUAAAGCGCGCGUAGGUGGUUCGUUAAGUUGGAUGUGAAAGCCCCGGGCUCAACCUGGGAACUGCAUCCAAAACUGGCGAGCUAGAGUACGGUAGAGGGUAGUGGAAUUUCCUGUGUAGCGGUGAAAUGCGUAGAUAUAGGAAGGAACACCAGUGGCGAAGGCGACUACCUGGACUGAUACUGACACUGAGGUGCGAAAGCGUGGGGAGCAAACAGGAUUAGAUACCC